GCAAGAUUAAAACUCAAAGGAAUAGACGGGGACCCGCACAAGUGGUGGAGCAAGUGGUUUAAUUCGAAGAUACGCGAAGAACCUUACCUAGCCUUGACAUUGAUAGAAUCCCGCAGAGAUGUAGGAGUGCCCUUCGGGGAGCUUGAAAACAGGUGCUGCACGGCUGUCGUCAGCUCGUGUCGUGAGAUGUUGGGUUAAGUCCCGCAACGAGCGCAACCCUCGUGAUUAGUUACUAACGGUUCGGCCGAGGACUCUAAUCAGACUGCCUCCGCAAGGAGGAGGAAGGUGAGGACGACGUCAAGUCAUCAUGGCCCUUACGGCUAGGGCAACACACGUGCUACAAUGGUUAGGACAGUGAGAUGCGAUACCGCGAGGUGGAGCAAAUCUAUAAACCUAAUCUCAGUUCGGAUAGCAGUCUGCAACUCGACUGCUUGAAGCUGGAAUCACUAGUAAUCGUAGAUCAGCUAUGCUACGGUGAAUACGUUCCCGGGUCUUGUACUCACCGCCCGUCACACCAUGGGAGUUGGUAUCACCCGAAGCGGGGAAGCUAAACUGGCUACCCUCCACGGUGGUAUUAGCGACUGGGGUGAAGUCGUAACAAGGUA
rnacentral:rRNA from 1 species